UCAAGAACCUUCCGCAAUGGGCGAAAGCCUGAUCUAGCCAUGCCGCGUGAGCGAUGAAGGCCUUAGGGUUGUAAAGCUCUUUCAGGGGGGAAGAUAAUGACGGUACCCCCAGAAGAAGCCCCGGCUAACUCCGUGCCAGCAGCCGCGGUAAUACGGAGGGGGCUAGCGUUGUUCGGAAUUACUGGGCGUAAGGCGCACGUAGGCGGACUGGAAAGUCAGGGGUGAAAUCCCGGGGCUCAACCCCGGAACUGCCUUUGAAACUCCCAGUCUUGAGGUCGAGAGAGGUAAGUGGAAUUCCGAGUGUAGAGGUGAAAUUCGUAGAUAUUCGGAGGAACACCAGUGGCGGAGGCGGCUCACUGGCUCGAUACUGACGCUGAGGUGCGAAAGCGUGGGGAGCAAA
rnacentral:rRNA from 1 species